rnacentral:rRNA from 1 species
AGCAGCCGCGGUAAUUCCAGCUCCAAUAGCGUAUAUUAAAGUUGUUGCAGUUAAAAAGCUCGUAGUUGAAUUUCGGGAUCAGUACGCUGGUCGUGCCUUUGGUAUGUACUGGUGUCACUGAUUCCUCCCUUCUGAAGAACCGUUAUGCCAUUUAUUUGGUGUGGCGGGGAAUCAGGACUGUUACUUUGAAAAAAUUAGAGUGUUUAAAGCAGGCUCGCGCUUGAAUACAUUAGCAUGGAAUAAUGAAAUAGGACGUUUGAUCUUAUUUUGUUGGUUUCUAGGAUCGACGUAAUGAUUAAUAGGGAUAGUUGGGGGCAUUAGUAUUCAAUUGUCAGAGGUGAAAUUCUUGGAUUUAUUGAAGACUAACUACUGCGAAAGCAUUUGCCAAGGAUGUUUUCAUUAAUCAAGAACGAAAGUUAGGGGAUCGAAGACGAUCAGAUACCGUCGUAGUCUUAACCAUAAACUAUGCCGACUAGGGAUCGGAUGAUGUUAUUUUUAAUGGCUCAUU